rnacentral:rRNA from 1 species
UACGUAGGAUGCAAGCGUUGUCCGGAUUUACUGGGCGUAAAGCGCGCGCAGGCGGCAAGGUAAGUAAGGUGUGAAAUAUCCCGGCUCAACCGGGAGGGUGCACUUUAGACUGCUUUGCUUGAGGUCGGUAGAGGGGGGUGGAAUUGCUGGUGUAGCGGUGAAAUGCGUAGAGAUCAGCAGGAACACCCGUGGCGAAGGCGGCCCCCUGGGCCGUACCUGACGCUGAGACGCGAAAGCGUGGGGAGCGAACAGG